AGUAUAGUUUCAAGUUGGGGAUUGUGAUACUCCCUGCCAUGUCUCUGUUACCUAGAAUUGCUUUUGCUAUUCUGGGUCUCUUCUUGUUCCAAAUGAAGUUUUCGAUUGUUUUCUCAAGGUCCAUGAAGUAUGCUGCUGGGAUCUCAAUUGAAAUUGCAUUAAAUCUAUAUAUCAGUUUUGGAAGUAUGGGCAUUUUCACUAUAUUAAUCCUUCCUACCCAGGAGCAGGGGAUGUCUGUCCAUUUUCUGAUAUCAUCUUCAAUCUCUCUUUUCAGAGUGCCAUAGUUUUCAGAGAAGAGGUCUUUGAUUUCUUUUGUUAGGUUGAUUCCUAGGUAUUUCAAUUUUUUUGGAUGCUAUUGUGAAAGGAAUUAUUUGCCCUAUUUCUCUCUCAGUGAGUCUGUCAUUAGUGUAGAGGAAAGCUAUUGAUUUUUGUGUGUUGAUCUUGUAACCAGCUACUUGACUGAAUUUGGUUAUUAAGUCUAGAAGAGUUUUGGUGGAGUUCUUGGGGUCUUCUAUAUAGAGUAUCCUGUCAUCUGCAAAUAAUGACAAUUUGACUUCUUCAUUUCCUCUCUUUAUUCCUUUUAUUUCUUUCUCUUGUCUAAUUGCCACAGCUAAUGUUUCCAGAACUAUAUUGAACAAGAGCGGUGAUAAUGGACAUCCUUGUCUUGUUCCUGAUUUGAGUGUGAAGGAUUUCAGUUUUUGACCAUUUAGUAUGAUAUUGGCUGUUGGUUUUGUAUAGAUGGCUUUUAUCAGUUUGAGGUAGAGACCAUCUAUUCCAAUUUUUUGUAGGGUUUUUAUCAUAAAUGCAUGUUGGAUUUUUCAAAUGCUUUUUCUUCAUCUAUGGAGAUAAUCAUAUGGAUUUUGUCCUUGGCCUUAUUGAUAUAGUGUAUUACAUUGAUUGAUUUGCAUAUAUUGAACCAUCCCUGCAUCCCUGGGAUGAAUCCCACUUGAUCAGGGUGUAUGAUCUUCUUGAUGAUCUUCUGCAUUCUGUUUGCCAGUAUCUUAUUAAGGAAUUUUGCAUCUAUGUUCAUUAGGGAGAUUGGCGUAUAGUUCUCCUUUUCGGUUGGGUCUUUCUCUGCUUUGGGGAUCAAGGUGAUGCUUGCUUCCAGGAAUGAAUUUGGGAGUAUUGCUUCCCUUUCAAUUUCAUUGAAGAGUUUAAACAGUAGUGGCGGUAGUUCCUCUCUAAAUGUCUUGUAGAAUUCAGCAGUGUAGCCAUCAGGGCCCGGGCUUUUCUUAGUUGAUAAAUUUUAAUUACAUUUUCAAUUUCAUUGGUUGAUAUUGGGUUGUUCAGAAUUUUUAGAUCUUCUUCAUUCAACUUUAGUAAUUCAUAUGUAUCUAGGAAUCUGUCCAUUUCUUCUGUGUUGUCCAUCUUAUUUGUGUGUAGGUUCUGGAAGUAGG
ensembl:lncRNA